rnacentral:lncRNA from 1 species
AGGUAUUUCCUCAGAUAUUAGAUUAUCCUUAAACAAAUACAUUCAAAAAUUUUGAAGUUUAAGUGACUUAGAUAAAGCCACUGUCUCAGAAGAAAAUUCUUAAUUUUGUGCAGUCAUAGUAUCCCAGGAAUCUAAAAUUCCUCUGAGUUUCCCUCUUGUUAUACUCUUCUGCCUGGAAAACUUUCUUAUUUUCCCACCUUUAGGGUUCCCCAAAUAUAACUUACAUAGCAUCCAGAUGGUACCCUUGGCCCUGCCAAAUCUCAGACUACUAGUAGAAUGCUUGCAGCUUCUCACUGUGUGGAAGUCAAAAGUAGAUGUCAGCAUGGCUAGUGGUCUUUGCCUGGUACCACAGAACUGCCCUUUACUGUCAUCCCUUAGCUGGCAUUUCAUUCUUCUUUCCCACCCAAAUGAUGAUCCCAGAAUGAAGACUCUGACCUCUGUGAAAAUCAGUGAGUUCAGCAGACAGGGUGGGUAGUAGACAGAGUGGAAGACACUGAUAGUGGAGACCUUGGAGAGGAGCAGCAAUGUGUGGGAUGACAUAUUGAAAGUUUGACUUUUUCCAGUUCUGGCUAGUCAUUGAUCUCUCGUCUCCUUGGACCCUGUUUUCUUCACUUUAACAUUGUGCCUGAAUCUGUAGUGAAGGAAUUGUGUUUAAAAACCAGUCACCACUCAGUGUCUUACCCUACUAUCAGAGAGCAAAUAUCCACUUUCGAUGCUACCUAAUACAGCCAAAGAUACCUAGCUGCAUUAGUCAAAUGCAUGCCACACACCUCCUAAAUCAAAGUGUGCAUGUUGCAGAGAACUGUGAGGAUCAAGGGACCAAUAAUCAAUACCAAUGACAGACUGAAGACAGCUAUGCCAAUGCAGCACCUAUUAGCAUAAUAGAUUCAUGCCACAGAACUAUAGAAAAGGGGUAGGAAGCCAGUGCAGUUUUGUCACUUGCUGUAUCUGCUGCCUGUCAGACCUGAUUUCCUCACUGAGGCUCAGUCUUUAUCUAAGGCAGCAGCAGAGAAGGAUCUAGAAAUUUGGGUAUGAGAGCAGAAUGGCCAUGCAGCUCUCUGCUGUUGUUAGCAGUGGCUCCCUAUCCAGUAAGCGAGACGAUGGCGGGGGAGGAAGGAAGCCAUGGUAUCACAGUAAAGACUCCUUGGCAAGAGUUGGUUGUUUUCUCCCUGAACUAAAUCUGGCCUUUGUUUAGAGAAUUUCCUUUGGUUUUGUGACUUCUCUAGUCCUUUCCCAGCAUCCUUUUAUUAUCAGAGCAAGAACACCAUGACCCUUUGCACAGGGUUAAAAUAACAGCAGUAGCCCAAGGGAAGACUGGAUUGUGCUGUUUAUGUCCCUGCUAUAACUUACUGUGUGCCUCAGCAAAGCUCGGGGCCCUGCUCCCCUCUGCCUCCAGGCAUGUUGUUGAAUCUGUCAAGACAAUUACUCCUCUUUUACUCCUUUAAGUUGACAUACACUUUGAGCCCUUUCCACUCCCCUCUGCCCUGCUCAUUCUUUCGGCUGCCAAGUUGCUGUUAGCAUUCCUGGGACUCUGUCCUCCCCAUUCCAUCUCAGAACUUUGACCUUUGUUUUCAUCUCCAAAAGGCUGUGGCUCUUUUCCAUCUUGCUGACAUUUUACUUCCCUGGUGGGCAGAGAGGUCAUCAGAACCCAUUGUCUUCUUGCGGAGGUUAGAAGCAGGACCAGGAAGAAGUGCAAUGGGCGCUGUUGACUGGUUGAUGUGUGGGUCAUCGACACUCAUCCCUGCCUCCUUGGAGAAAGACUUCCCCAGCAAGCUGAUAGAUCAGCAGGGAAUAAAAUCCUCAAGGCAUUUUGUUGGCGCUUUGAGGGACCACAUAGAACAAUAUGUUUUUUUUUUUUUCCUUUUCAGAAUUAGAUCAAGUGUGGAUGCAGGGUGAUUCUGGGAACUGUAAGAGCUUGUCAUCUAUUAUUUUUUUUCUUUUUCCUUUUGGAUGUGUGGGUAGGGAGGGUGAAGACCUUCUGCCUUCUUGUGAUCUGCCUCAGCUGUUCGUAUUCUUUCUAAUAAUGCCAUCUUCCUCAGCUAGGGAUAUCAAAAAUAUUGUCUUCUUUAUGGCUGUCCCAGUUUGAAUAGAAGCUCCAUAUCCUUGUUCGAAGGACCUGUGAGAGUAAGAUGGGAAGGGAGUUUCAUGGGGUGAUCCUUACCCCAUCUUUCUCCUGUUCAGAAAGUAGGCUUCUACUCUAAAUCCUCCUUUCUCAUUUUUCUCAUUGUUCCUUCUUUUCUGUGGAAGAAUGCUUCCAGAUGCCAACAUUUUAUCUUUCUUUGAAAUGUAGGUGAAUUUAAAACUGUCCAAAAGGAAGACCUGACAUCUUUACCACCUCUACAUUCCCUGUAGUUAUGGUCUCGAGAGUGUGCUGAGAGAUAUAGUGUAACACGGGCCACUCCAUCAUCCCUGUAGACCAUCAUGGGGAUGUUAGAGAACCUGUGCUCACUUCGUGUGCAGGAGGAUUUUGUUUCGGUGGAAUGAGAGAAGAAAACAUCCCUGAGCAGCAGGGAGGCAGGGGGAAAGAGCUGGGAUGGAGAGAAGGUCAAAGGGCUCAGAACCAGUGGGCACAGAUCUGGUUAUGACUCAAUGCCUUAUAACCUCACUAUUAAAGAAAACCUGUGCUUUUCAGCUCCCAUGUGCCUGCAAAUCACCUCCAGUAGCUCUGGGAUGGAGUUUUAGAACAGGAUUGAUAGCCAGUUCCCGACUGGUGUCUUUGAUUAUUCUUGUCAAAGCCAAGCAGAAAUCUAAAAUUAAUGCAUACAAAUUUUUCAAAAUUAAUUUGUAGGUAGUACAGACACCCACUAUAUACCCAAUCCUUAUUUUCAGAUUUCUCCCUUCUCCUCCCAUGUCUGCAGGGCUGGCGGCAGCUCCUGGGUCUUCAUGGCUAUAAAUGAACCUAGCUUACCCUGGGAUGAGGUCACAUUUUCCAAAAGCAUGUUUGUAGUCUGUGGUGAAGGGGAGGGUCUGUUUGAACAGUUGAGGACAGGGAAACAUGUCCUUCCUAAGACAGACUAGAGUCUGGGCCAAGCCGGAUUUGAGGACAUUCCCCAGGCAGAGGAAAUAGGGGAGGCCCGAGCAGCUGAGUGUGUGUUUAUAAUUCAGAUUCUAGGGCAUCCCAAGGAACUGCUGCUGGGAAAAGUCUCCACUAUUUCAGUCUAUCCUCUAAGCAUCAGUACAGUUAGGACCUGAAGACGGAUAGUUAACCUUAUUAAAGUUCAUCACUUCUUAGCUUCUGUCUCUGAUAGAUAAGGGUUUUUAGAGAGACUUUCAAUAUUAUAUAUUCUGAAGUCAAUGAAAAAUAUGAACACUUCCCCCAAUUCACUUUAAUAGACUCAGUUUUAAAGUCCAUCUUUAGCCACAGGAUGCUUAUUCAACACUAUGCCACUUCAGGUGAGUCCAGGAGAACACAGUGCUGACCCAAAGAGAGGGGGCAGCUGUUCUCACUGCCCUCAGUCCACAUGAAGGAAAGAGUCCCUGCCAAGCCACUCCUGCCGCCAUAGCAAAAAUUACAGGGCUUGGAUCACUUCAACAGACUCCAUUCAUUUUUUUUUUUUUUUUACAUCCCAGAGCUAGGAGUCCAAGGCUGAGCUCCAAGUGCUAUGGUUUCUGAUAAGGAGAAUCUGCUUGGCUUGCAAAUGGUCUCUUUCUCUCUGAGAUAGAGACAAUGCACAGUGAGAAGGAAUCUCUGAUGUGUCCUCUUACAGUAUUAAUCCUGUCAUAACCUCCUUUUGAGCACACUUACUUUGCUAGAGGCCACCUUCCUCAAUACAGGUAUGUUCUCUAAUGGCUUCAACAUAUCUGUUGAGGAGACAGACCUUCAGCCUCUAACUAAAGUCAACCAACCAACCAAACAAACAAACAAAAAACACCCCACUUAUGAAGUAGGAAAAAGAUGAGUAUUCUUUGUAGAGAUGAAUUCCCCUCAUAUUGUUUUUAAAGAUUGCUACUACCCAUUAAAAAUAGAAAUCAGAAAAGCCAAUAAAAUUGGACCCUAUUUUGAUUAUGCGUUCCCUCGGCAUGCACCCAAUAAUCUCUGACUUCCUUGGAAAGUGUAUGAUCAUCUUCGGAACCUCAAUUACAGCUGUCCCUCUUUCUGGAGAUGUAAUCACUAGACACCUUAAAUGUUGAGUGUGGGGCUUGCUUGUAUUCAUUAAAACCAGAGAAAGGGGGGAAUGGUGGUCCCCAUUUGGCAAACAUUCAUUUCCCAAGAUUGCAUUUGUGUUUUUGUUUAUCAUAAAAUGUUCUUAAACAGAGCUGAAAUGGUUUGUGAUUAUGCCUGUGAUUUACACAAAAGAAUGUACAAGUGUGGAUUGCUCUCUUCAUACAGCGUGUCCGUCCUCAAGUAAACAAAAUGUGAUCCCAGUUGAAGACUCUGGCAUACAAAGGUCAAUUUGGGAAAUUCGU